rnacentral:lncRNA from 1 species
GCAUGUUGCUUGCGGGAUAUCAUCAGCUGGACACCAGCAUGUGGAGCUUUGGCAAUUAGUGUCGAGCUGUUGGCCGCUGAAGCUGGAGGCGUCUGGGCCCUGCCUGUGGCAAGCGGUCGAGUUUCCCGGCAUGAGAAAGAUCUGGAACAAAUAGGAAACGAGCAUUUUAGAGCUGUGCCACUCACACUCACUUUGGGAUCUCCCAAGAGCCACAGCUGAGCAAUCACUGCAGGCUUGGGAAGAGGUCUUGGGAUGUCUCUGCUGUACCGUCCACUGCCAGAGGUUUAAGUCCAGUACUUUGUUUGGGAUACAGAGUGUUAGAAGGUAAGGUUGAAAUUGAUCUAAAUGCUCACCUCCUGAUUGCACCAUCUGUUUGUUCAUUCAUUCAACCUUCAUUUCUUCGUAGACUCAUGAGAGAGAGACUGUUUUUCUGACCCUUUGAUUCUUCUGAGGAUUGAACCAAGAGAAUCUCCUCUUCAAUUCCUAUUGCAAAGCAAAGGGCAAUGAUUCAUGUGCCUAAGAGAUGACUGGGUC